CAAAGACUUACUGCUCUGUCGAACUUGUUCAAGGUUACCAGGGUAAGGCUUUCAAUGAAGUAAUUACAAAAUACUCUCUAUUUCUCUACAAAUUUCUUUUCAAUUAAUCUGACCCUGUACUCUAUGAUUGGCAUAAUAAAGUGCUGAUGAAGUUUGUUGGCAGAGCCUGAAUAGAAGUUUGAUCAACAAUGAACGGGAAAUAUGCGCCACACAGGAAGUAAGGGUUGGGCAACAAAUUACCUUACAUGCAUUACAUAGGAC